rnacentral:rRNA from 1 species
AGAGUUUGAUCCUGGCUCAGGACGAACGCUGGCGGCGUGCCUAAUACAUGCAAGUCGAGCGAGCUGAAUUCAAAGAUCCCUUCGGGGUGAUUUGUUGGACGCUAGCGGCGGAUGGGUGAGUAACACGUGGGCAAUCUGCCCUAAAGACUGGGAUACCACUUGGAAACAGGUGCUAAUACCGGAUAACAACAUGAAUCGCAUGAUUCAAGUUUGAAAGGCGGCGCAAGCUGUCACUUUAGGAUGAGCCCGCGGCGCAUUAGCUAGUUGGUGGGGUAAAGGCCUACCAAGGCAAUGAUGCGUAGCCGAGUUGAGAGACUGAUCGGCCACAUUGGGACUGAGACACGGCCCAAACUCCUACGGGAGGCAGCAGUAGGGAAUCUUCCACAAUGGACGCAAGUCUGAUGGAGCAACGCCGCGUGAGUGAAGAAGGUUUUCGGAUCGUAAAGCUCUGUUGUUGGUGAAGAAGGAUAGAGGCAGUAACUGGUCUUUAUUUGACGGUAAUCAACCAGAAAGUCACGGCUAACUACGUGCCAGCAGCCGCGGUAAUACGUAGGUGGCAAGCGUUGUCCGGAUUUAUUGGGCGUAAAGCGAGCGCAGGCGGAAUGAUAAGUCUGAUGUGAAAGCCCACGGCUCAACCGUGGAACUGCAUCGGAAACUGUCAUUCUUGAGUGCAGAAGAGGAGAGUGGAACUCCAUGUGUAGCGGUGGAAUGCGUAGAUAUAUGGAAGAACACCAGUGGCGAAGGCGGCUCUCUGGUCUGCAACUGACGCUGAGGCUCGAAAGCAUGGGUAGCGAACAGGAUUAGAUACCCUGGUAGUCCAUGCCGUAAACGAUGAGCGCUAGGUGUUGGGGACUUUCCGGUCCUCAGUGCCGCAGCAAACGCAUUAAGCGCUCCGCCUGGGGAGUACGACCGCAAGGUUGAAACUCAAAUGAAUUGACGGAAGGGCGA